rnacentral:rRNA from 1 species
UCGAGAAUAAUUCACAAUGGGGGAAACCCUGAUGGUGCAACGCCGCGUGGAGGAUGAAGGUCUUCGGAUUGUAAACUCCUGUCAUCCGGGAGUAAGACCUGGCGGUGAAUAGCCGACAGGGUUGAUAGUACCGGAAGAGGAAGGGACGGCUAACUUCGUGCCAGCAGCCGCGGUAAUACGAAGGUCCCAAGCGUUGUUCGGAAUCACUGGGCGUAAAGGGUGCGUAGGCGGUUUGGUAAGUCAGAUGUGAAAUCCCGGGGCUCAACCCCGGAACUGCAUCCGAUACUGCCAUGCUAGAGGAUUGGAGAGGUAGCUGGAAUUCUUGGUGUAGCAGUGAAAUGCGUAGAGAUCAAGAGGAACACUCGUGGCGAAAGCGAGCUACUGGACAAUUCCUGACGCUGAGGCUCGAAGGCUAGGGUAGCGAAAG